rnacentral:rRNA from 1 species
GAUGAACGCUGGCGGCGUGCCUAAUACAUGCAAGUCGAGCGAACAGAUAAGGAGCUUGCUCCCUUGACGUUAGCGGCGGACGGGUGAGUAACACGUGGGUAACCUACCUAUAAGACUGGGAUAACUUCGGGAAACCGGAGCUAAUACCGGAUAAUAUUUCGAACCGCAUGGUUCGAUAGUGAAAGAUGGUUUUGCUAUCACUUAUAGAUGGACCCGCGCCGUAUUAGCUAGUUGGUAAGGUAACGGCUUACCAAGGCGACGAUACGUAGCCGACCUGAGAGGGUGAUCGGCCACACUGGAACUGAGACACGGUCCAGACUCCUACAGGAGGCAGCAGUAGGGAAUCUUCCGCAAUGGGCGAAAGCCUGACGGAGCAACGCCGCGUGAGUGAUGAAGGUCUUCGGAUCGUAAAACUCUGUUAUUAGGGAAGAACAUACGUGUAAGUAACUGUGCACGUCUUGACGGUACCUAAUCAGAAAGCCACGGCUAACUACGUG